GAGAUACCAGGGAUGCAUGCGCAGAGAAAAGAUCAUGUGAGGAUUUAGUAAGGAGGUAGUUGUCUGUAAGCCAGUGAGAGAGGCCUCGGGAAAGCAAACCUGCCACCAUCCUGAUCUCAGACUUCCAGCCUCCUGACUCAGCCUAAUCUGGAGGGAAACCAGAUGGCCCAAAGGUACCAGGACCAACGGCUAUGAGGAAGCAGUAAUAAGAGAGGGUGGGAUGGUGGAGUGGGCUGCCAAAAGGAGGGAUAUAAAAGAUCUAGGGAGAAGGUCCCAUGGAGCCAGAUAGUCAAAGCAACACAGAAGCUCCCACAAGGGUCAGGAAAGAGACCCUUCAAGUGGCCCCAAAGUCCAAAGUGAAGGGGUGUGGGUGACAUGAUGCAGGAGACCUUUCAUCUUUCCACACAGUGGAGACCCAGGGGGCCACCGGGGCCUGAGCUCAAAAGAGCAACCCUGCACCCUCCUGGACUUGGCCAGCCACAGAACAGUAUCUUCAUCAACCAACCGUUGUGUCCCAGCCCUUACGCCGAGUUUGAAUCUUGAGCAUCCAACAACAGGAAUUUAAAGAAAGGAUAAUAUAGACAUAAAGUGGACUUCAGUUUGGGUUUGAACGUGUUGAAUCGAAGGUGCCCAGGAGUACUUCACAGAGAGCUCCUGAGAAGGCAGUUGCCUGUAUGGAAAGAAUUUAGGGACUCAAAGUCCUCAGAACACACUCGAGAUGGCAGAAGCUGAAAGCAGGUCAACAAUCCCACUUCUGGGCAAACACCCAGAGGAAAUAAAGUCAAGAACUUGAAGAGAUAGGUAUUUGCAGCCCCAUGCUCAUUGGAGUAUUAUUGACAAUAGCCAAGACAUGGAAAUAGCCUAACCCGUAUCUGGAUAAAGAAGAUGUGGCACAGAUAUUCAGUGGAAUAUUGUACAAUCAUAAAAAAGGAGAUCUUGCCAUGUGCCACAACAUGGAUGAACCUGGAGGACAUGAUGCUGAGUGAAUGAAGUCAGACACAGGAAGACAUACUGUAUGAUCUCACUUAUAUGUGGAAGCUAAAAAACUCAAACUCAUAAAAACAGAGCAGAGUGAUGGUUCCCAAGGAGUAGGAGUUGGGGGCACGGGGAGAUGUUGGCCAAAGGGUACAAAAGUGGGGUUAUACAAGAUAAAUAAGUUCUGGAGAGCUAAUA